UAUUAGCGUUAUUCUAGAGAAGGCAAACUCUAUCAGACAGGCUGUAGCAAGUGAUGAUGGAGAUGACGAAAGCGAUUCAUGGAGCGAUAGCGACACGUGAUAUACUAGUUGCAGUUCACCAUAUUCAUUCCUUCUUAUAUGUUUAAUGUGUAGUAGAUAUCUAGGUCGAUUUUGUCGUGCGUUUGUAUUUUUAUCUUCAACAAAGAGAGAUGUAGGUUCUGAAUAAAUAUAAUUUAUAACUAUAUAAUAUAUGCUAUGUCUGAGCUA